ACACUUGUGUUGCACUCAUGAAUAUGCGAAAACACGUCUCGUCAGGAAACUGACUAUGAGCAUAAACGCGCUCGGAAUAGACGUUCAGGACUGGGGGGCGGUACCCCACAGCUCCACCAUAGGCAUACAUGGCCCCGUUGAUGGGUUGGACUUCGUGUCAAUGAAGGCGAAUUUGGUAUGUCUUUGAUGGGGCUGAAAUAGGAUCGACUGGCGUUCAAAGGUGUUAGCUUUGCUUCGGUGAGAUACCACCGUUAUCGGUUCAAAACGCACAACUGCAAACGCAAACCGUGCUCCCGCAUUCGCCCAGGCUGCCUAAGGCAGCCCGCGCAAGCGGAACCUAAGCCCUCUCGGUUAGCACCGUGAGGCGGGGCCUCAGGGAGCCUGGCAACAGAAUCCCUGACU
rnacentral:tmRNA from 1 species